rnacentral:tRNA from 1 species
GUGGGUGUAGCUCAGUUGGUAGAGCCCCAGGCCGUGACCCUGGAUGUCGUGGGUUCGAGCCCCACCACUCACCCCA